GCGGUCGUGCCGGGCGGCGCGGACGUCGGCCGGGUGCUGGUCGGCACGGCCGACGCGGUGUCGUUCACCGGCUCCGGCCCGGUCGGCCGCU
rnacentral:tRNA from 1 species